rnacentral:rRNA from 1 species
GACAGAGGGUGCGAACGUUGUUCGGAAUUACUGGGCGUAAAGCGCAUGUAGGCGGCAGCGCAAGUCGGGCGUGAAAUCCCACGGCUCAACCGUGGAAGUGCACUCGAAACUGCGCAGCUAGAGUCCUGGAGAGGAAGGUGGAAUGCUUGGUGUAGAGGUGAAAUUCGUAGAUAUCAAGCGGAACACCGGUGGCGAAGGCGGCG